rnacentral:rRNA from 1 species
UACGGAGGGGGCUAGCGUUGUUCGGAAUUACUGGGCGUAAAGCGCACGUAGGCGGCUUUGUAAGUUAGAGGUGAAAGCCCGGGGCUCAACUCCGGAAUUGCCUUUAAGACUGCAUCGCUAGAAUUGUGGAGAGGUAAGUGGAAUUCCGAGUGUAGAGGUGAAAUUCGUAGAUAUUGGGAAGAACACCGGUGGCGAAGGCGGCGCUCUGGGCCGAGACUGACGCUGAGGCGCGAAAGCGUGGGGAGCGAACCGG